CUACGGACUUAGCUAACUGAGCCUUGAAGGAGAAAUCCCUCAAGUGACCGCUCUCAAACUCAGGGAAACCUAAAUCUGGCAACAGACAUGGCAAUCCUGAGCCAAGCCCAGCGAUUUUAGAUUUUGCGAAAAGUUUGAGCGGAGGUUUCCUCCGAUCAAAGCUUUUCAAGACAGAUUUUAGAUUUGUGAUUGCUCUUGAAUCCAAAAUCCAAAAUCCAAAAUUUAAAAUUCAGGGAAGGUGCAGAGACCCGACGGGAGCUACCCUAACGUCAAGUCGAGGGUAAAGGGAGAGUCCAAUUCUCAAAGCCG
rnacentral:ncRNA from 1 species